UAGGGAAUAUUGGACAAUGGGCGAAAGCCUGAUCCAGCAAUGCCGCGUGAGUGAUGAAGGCCUUAGGGUUGUAAAGCUCUUUUACCCGGGAUGAUAAUGACAGUACCGGGAGAAUAAGCUCCGGCUAACUCCGUGCCAGCAGCCGCGGUAAUACGGAGGGAGCUAGCGUUGUUCGGAAUUACUGGGCGUAAAGCGCACGUAGGCGGCUAUUCAAGUCAGAGGUGAAAGCCCGGGGCUCAACCCCGGAACUGCCUUUGAAACUAGAUAGCUUGAAUCCAGGAGAGGUGAGUGGAAUUCCGAGUGUAGAGGUGAAAUUCGUAGAUAUUCGGAAGAACACCAGUGGCGAAGGCGGCUCACUGGACUGGUAUUGACGCUGAGGUGCGAAAGCGUGGGGAGCA
rnacentral:rRNA from 1 species